UUGCUUCUCUUGUUCCUGUUGCUCGUUCGAUGGCGCUGUUGCGCUUGUUUCAACUGGAGAGCAUGAGUUAUCAGACGCGAAGGUGGUACUCUCAUCGGGUGAAGUCGUACUUGUGGUAUCUGUGCUCACAAAUGAAACGGAAAUAAAAACCUAGUAGACGCGUGCUCCUACGAUUCUCCUAUAUACGAUCUAGAGUAUCUUUUGUGGAAAGAAUAGAAAAUAGUGGAACAGUGGCACAAGGAAACAAAGUUCGGUCGAAUAUACAUUGUUCCGACAAAGCAAUACAGCGGGAAACUACGGCUAAUCGAGACAUGGGAGUGUGGAGAUUUUGUGCGAGUGUUAAUUGUUCGUGUAUCGGUCGAGAAAUAAAUGUACGAUUAGUGGUCGAAUCGAACGGAGUUGUCGAGAGCAUAUAUCUUGGACUAACCUAUGUAUAAUAGGUAGUAUGUAAUGUCAUAUCGCAGCGAAUCCUACUGUCCGAUACGUAAGUCCUGUAUAAAUAUGAAAUAAAUUUCGCCUCGGAUAUGUGUCGAGGUGAUCGACGACUAGGCAACGGCAACGAUAGGAAACUAGGCGCGUAGACGACGCGGGAUAAAGAUCGCUCGAUAAUCGAUCGAGCGUGUGCACGGGUUGCGUCGCGACGGGUGAAGUUGCGAAGGUAAUUGUGCGCGUGUUUGUUUAAACAAAGGUGCCUGUUCUCACUCACCUGAUACUAUUUCCUGGGAGGUCAUUUGGAGAAGGAGCGCGAGUUGUUGACGCUCGGACAUCCGCGCUGGGUAACCGCGGAAACGACUGUUACCGCCUGCGGGCAUUCCGUCCUCAUAACUCAUGUAACUCGAUCUCGAAAACGCACGUGGAGGAUCACGGUGUACACUUUAAUGAAAAGAUGCCAGGCCGCGUGUGGUCGCGCGCGCGCGCCUUUAUUCCUUGGUCCGCCGUGAUUUGCCACGAGCGAAGAUAACCUAAAAUCGCACGGUCGGUUCACGCCAUUUUGACCUACCGAGCGCGCACAGAUACGUGAAACGACAGUCACGCAACACGUAUGCAACCACACGCGCCAAAACUAAUUGCAUCGGAUGAACACUGAGAAUCGCCGUUCGUGAUUCUGCACUCUUGUUUCCCGGGCCGAUGAUUUGAUUUCACGACGCGGUAUGUGUGUGCGUGAUCUUUCGAAAAUGAGAUUCGCGACACACCACUCGGAACACAGUGCGCAAUAUGACGCAACGUUUGUGUUGGUGUUAAUAGUUGGUAUCUCUGUCGAUAGCGUGCGUCGCGCCAAUAUUCAAAUUAACGUAAUUAAAAGCGGAUCCCGGGAAAGGGCAUCGUCGGUGUUUUCUAGUAAGCGGCCACAUUCGGAAACGUGUUACGCGAUCGAACGAAUGGGACUAGAGAAUUUUUUCCAAAUGAAAAUCGAACGUAUACGAUCGGUAUCGAUCAGUGAAACGUACUCGUGUAAUUUUUGCGUGUGUUUUUUUAAUAAAGAAGAUGGGUUUACAUAUCG